rnacentral:tRNA from 1 species
GCCAAGGUGGUGUAGUUGGUAGCGCGCGUGAGUCAUGCCUAUUCAUCUAGGUACCUUCAAUACGAAGGGGCGAGACCCAGGUUCGAUUCCUGGCCUUGGUC